AAGUCGUAACAAGGUUUCCGUAGGUGAACCUGCGGAAGGAUCAUUAAAAAUGAAGAGAGAUUUACACGUGAACGAGUUGAAACGAGGAUAAUAGGUUAUCGGUUGUAACAUUUUAGUACAACUUUUAGCAACGGAUCUCUUGGUUCUC
rnacentral:misc_RNA from 1 species